rnacentral:rRNA from 1 species
AUUGAACGCUUGCGGCAGGCUUAACACAUGCAGGUCGAACGAUGAUUAUCUAGCUUGCUAGAUAUGAUUAGUGGCGGACGGGUGAGUAACAUUUAGGAAUCUGCCUAGUAGUGGGGGAUAGCUCGGGGAAACUCGAAUUAAUACCGCAUACGACCUACGGGUGAAAGGGGGCGCAAGCUCUUGCUAUUAGAUGAGCCUAAAUCAGAUUAGCUAGUUGGUGGGGUAAAGGCCCACCAAGGCGACGAUCUGUAACUGGUCUGAGAGGAUGAUCAGUCACACCGGAACUGAGACACGGUCCGGACUCCUACGGGAGGCAGCAGUGGGGAAUAUUGGACAAUGGGGGCAACCCUGAUCCAGCCAUGCCGCGUGUGUGAAGAAGGCCUUUUGGUUGUAAAGCACUUUAAGCAGGGAGGAGAGGCUAAUGGUUAAUACCCAUUAGAUUAGACGUUACCUGCAGAAUAAGCACCGGCUAACUCUGUGCCAGCAGCCGCGGUAAUACAGAGGGUGCGAGCGUUAAUCGGAAUUACUGGGCGUAAAGCGAGUGUAGGUGGCUCAUUAAGUCACAUGUGAAAUCCCCGGGCUUAACCUGGGAACUGCAUGUGAUACUGGUGGUGCUAGAAUAUGUGAGAGGGAAGUAGAAUUCCAGGUGUAGCGGUGAAAUGCGUAGAGAUCUGGAGGAAUACCGAUGGCGAAGGCAGCUUCCUGGCAUAAUAUUGACACUGAGAUUCGAAAGCGUGGGUAGCAAACAGGAUUAGAUACCCUGGUAGUCCACGCCGUAAACGAUGUCUACUAGCCGUUGGGGUCCUUGAGACUUUAGUGGCGCAGUUAACGCGAUAAGUAGACCGCCUGGGGAGUACGGCCGCAAGGUUAAAACUCAAAUGAAUUGACGGGGGCCCGCACAAGCGGUGGAGCAUGUGGUUUAAUUCGAUGCAACGCGAAGAACCUUACCUGGUCUUGACAUAGUGAGAAUCCUGCAGAGAUGCGGGAGUGCCUUCGGGAAUUCACAUACAGGUGCUGCAUGGCUGUCGUCAGCUCGUGUCGUGAGAUGUUGGGUUAAGUCCCGCAACGAGCGCAACCCUUUUCCUUAUUUGCCAGCGGGUUAAGCCGGGAACUUUAAGGAUACUGCCAGUGACAAACUGGAGGAAGGCGGGGACGACGUCAAGUCAUCAUGGCCCUUACGACCAGGGCUACACACGUGCUACAAUGGUAGGUACAGAGGGUUGCUACACAGCGAUGUGAUGCUAAUCUCAAAAAGCCUAUCGUAGUCCGGAUUGGAGUCUGCAACUCGACUCCAUGAAGUCGGAAUCGCUAGUAAUCGCAGAUCAGAAUGCUGCGGUGAAUACGUUCCCGGGCCU